AUAUAUAUCAACCUUCUACUUUGUUGGAGAGGUUUGGAUGUGGGGGUUUGCUGGACUCUUUUUAAAAGGGUUCAGCUCCUCUGAAAUGCAUUAGCAGAACCAACCUGUUCAUUGGUGUGAUAACUAUCUACGCUAUUGAAUGUGAGGGGAAGUUCAGCUUUCUAACAGUCCUCGGACAAUUCAUCAUUA
rnacentral:misc_RNA from 1 species